UCAGCAUCAUAAAGGAUGCUAGAAAUCGGAGGCUGCUUACAGCUCCAGCGGCUGAGGGUGAGCCUCUGUCAUCUGCCCCUGCCCAGGGGGUCACAAUGAAUCCACAUCCUGCAAACACCUCUCCAGAAAUUGGAAGAAUUACAUUAACCUCCUCACCCCUCGCCCCAGCAGUGGCUCAGUUUAAACACAGCCACAGAUAACAUCCCGCCGCUGUUUGAAGAAGCAAUAAUCUUCUCAGAGCUGUCAAGGUUCAAGGACCCAGACUGACUGAGGCUCCUCCAGAUCUCCACAAGGACAGUGGUCAGGAGGACCACUAGGGAUGCCAGUGUGCAAGCCAUGCAAUGCAGUGGUCCAGGGGAAUCCAGUCUGCACCCAGGAGGUCCUCCUCCCAUGUAUCAUAAAAGAAAAUUUAAAGUAGGGUUGAAGAAUGAAACAAUAUUCUAUGAGGGCUAAGUGGAAAAUCAGGAUUUCUGCUGCAGUAUUUGAAGCCAAAACUAGGAGUGGAUUAAAAAAAGGAGGUGACACAGUAAAAAAAAGUGUAAAACCCAGCCUAAAAGUUUUCAUUGCUUUUUAAAGCCAGCUCUGAUAUGAUAAACUAUACAGGCAGCAAACAAUAUCUGCAAGAAUGAAAAUGAAUUUCCAUGUGGACAAUCAUCUCAUCACUGCAAAUAUUUUGUCAUGUACAUUUUUACCAACCAACAUACUGAAUGUGAAAGAUAUUGAAAUGCUUGUCAGAUCAAAGGAA